rnacentral:tRNA from 1 species
GUCAUGUAGUUAAGUGCUUAACACAUUUACUUGGCAAGCAAAAGGUUGCUGGUUCAAGUCCAGCUGGUGGCA